rnacentral:rRNA from 1 species
GGGCCCGCACAAGCAGUGGAGUAUGUGGUUUAAUUCGAAGCAACGCGAAGAACCUUACCAGGGCUUGACAUGAUAAUGAAUACUCUAGAGAUAGGGUAGCUCUUCGGAGCAUUAUUACAGGUGGUGCAUGGUUGUCGUCAGCUCGUGUCGUGAGAUGUUGGGUUAAGUCCCGCAACGAGCGCAACCCCUGUUGUUAGUUGCCAUCAUUAAGUUGGGCACUCUAACGAGACUGCCGGUGACAAAUCGGAGGAAGGUGGGGACGACGUCAAAUCAUCAUGCCCCUUAUGUCCUGGGCUACACACGUACUACAAUGGCUAUAACAGAGGGAAGCGAAGCCGUAAGGUGGAGCAAAACCCAAAAAAUAGUCCCAGUUCAGAUUGUGGGCUGAAACUCGCCCACAUGAAGUCGGAAUUGCUAGUAAUGGCAGGUCAGCAUACUGCCGUGAAUACGUUCCCGGGCCUU